UGUGUGUGUCGUGUCUUUGCUUUUUCUUUCUCCUUCGUUCUUUUUUUUUUCUUUUUUCUUUCUCCUUCUUUUGGA
rnacentral:ribozyme from 1 species